rnacentral:lncRNA from 1 species
AACAACAACAAUAAUUAACCAAAAAGAAUAUAAAUGUUCAAUAAUAAAACAAUAUCAACAAUACAAAUAUCAUUCAAAACAAUUCCAACUAAGUAUAUUCACAAUUCCAAGACUUUGUUUGGCAAUAUACACCAUUCAAGGAGUGUUUUGUGCGGCAUCAUCUCUUCUACCAGAAGCUUCAUCGUCGGAAUGGUUUGAAGGAUCAUCAUAAAAAGGAGUAGCAUCUGUGGAAGACUUACAAGACCGGGGAAUCGGAAAAGCCCUACUAAUAAGAAGAUUGACCAGCUGACUUUGAAAGGUAUUAAAUUAUUGAUCUCUCUUUUCUAACUAACCUUGAAGGCUAUUAAAUAUUCAUCUCUCUAUUCUUCUAUAGCCUUUGUCCCUUCAAGCUUUGUUGACGGCUUUGCGAUCUUCUUCUCCAUAGUCAAGAGAGCCGAUCAGUCAAGUGCCUCUCCCUGCCGGGAAGUCCCUAUACCUUGCAAUCCAAUUCUUUAGCGCCGAAAUGAUCACUCUGGAAUGCAGUAUGCUAUCCCAUUUUUAGGACAACCGAUAAAAUCUAACCAAUUCUUCUGUGCUUCUUCGUUUGAAGUAGAAGGUGGGUCGCACUGCUUAUUCAGUGGUUAGCUUUGACUGUACUCCUGUAGAGUAGUCUUAUAUCGGCCAUUUAUUUAGAAGAUAAAAAAUUAUUAAUUGUAUAAUAUUAUGAACAUUAAUUUUAAUUUAUAGUUAUGAAACUUACAUUGGUAGUUUCCGCCCGGUCCUCAACCCGUCAGCUUGAAUCCGUCGGUGUCUUCUUCUUCUGGAUGUUAGUCUCCAUGAAGAUUUAAAUAAUUUACAUACCUCCAUUAGUGCAUAAUCAAUAUUAGUUACAUUGUAGUUAACUUUAAUUAUAAUAUAGUUAAUCUUAGUCACAAUUUAGUUCAAAGAACAUAUUUAGUCACAUAUAUCCUAAAUAGAGAAAAUUCCUAUAAGAUUACAUUAAAUUAUACUAUGAAAAUUAUAAAGCUAAUAAGGUAGAUUACAAAUCUUGAAAGAGAAUAACAUUAAUGGCAACAUGAGGGGACUAACAGUGGUGGUGGCUAUGCGGAGAAUGCCAGUGGACGGUGGGGCGCAGAUAAACAAUGGUGGAUGGCUGGGGAGCGGAGCACCAAUGGUGGAGGAGGGCUUCGAUUUUGGGGGUGAGUGACCUUAUUUUGAGUGGGGUUUGGCCGAAAAUCUGUGAGGAAGAAAGAUGGAAGAUAGAGGGGGAAAAGAGGAAAAUAUGGAAGAAACAUGUCUGGGGUUAUCUAAUUAUUACAUUACCGACUAACUUCGUUGUAAUAUUAAAAAAGUUUGACCUCAUAAAUAUCGACCGAAUUCGGAUGAAAACUAAGUUUAUAAAAUUUUAAAUAAUAUUUUUUAUUAAAAAAUUAUCAAUAUAUUUCAAAAUUUAUACCAUAUAAUUUUUUUGUUAUUUUCAUUUUGCACACUUAAUAUAUACUGUCUUUCUUAAUUUGUACCUUAAUCAAUUGUUUUUAAUGAACUUACACCGAUAUCAGCCGAUUUUUUGUUUAAAUAUUGGAACAAAAUGAUAUAUAAUAUUAUACAUAUGACAGCAUCUUAAGUUUUACCAUAUCAUUAUAUCAAUGAUACACUUUAUAAUCUAUUUACUAAGAUACUAAGUAUUUCAUAGCAUGUUGGAUAUACAACAACUAUAUUAAUUAAACUAAAUCAUUAUAUAUAUAUAUAUAUAUAUAUACGCGAUCGCAAAACCAACAUGCGAGCUACAGAGUGAACUGCAAAUCAACCAUGAAGGUCACUGAAGGACGAAUAUGCGAUGCAAAAUGUGAUCACAUUUCUGAAUUGCGAUCCACAUAAUUGGAAUGUAAAUAAGACUUCUAAACUAGGGUUCCAGUCUGCGAUGAGGAUGCUCAAGAUUCGGACCGCAUACGUGCUCUGCGAUAAGAAUGUUAUCGCAUAUCAGACCUGAAUAGGCAAUUUUUUGUUUGUUUUCUGUCCCGACUUUGAGUCCACUAUAAAUAGUUUUAUGAUGUCAUUGUGGGCUCAUCUUGUCUAGUCUUUGAACUACAUUUCAAGACAUUAAUAUUCCUCACUUUUGGAAGCUUUUGGGUAAAGAUUCUCUACUUUGUAAGCUUUUAUGACAUUAAAUACUCUUUGAUUUUCGUAUUGUAGUAUGAGUAGCUAACUUUAAAUACUAAGGUUGUGAACCCUAAAUGGGUAUAUAUAUAUAUAUAUAUAUAUAUAUAUAAUGUUUAUCAUCUACGUGCUUGCUUUUGUAUCUAUUACAUUUCAUAUUGUUACAACCCAUAUUCACGUACGUUAGUUCAUACCGUACAUUAGUUGACGCAAUCCGAGAAGAGAAUAUCUUUGAGAUGAUAAUAAGUUAAUCCUCUUGGUCUUAAAUGAUAUAUGGGUGUAUAAGGGUGGUUAACAAGUAUUAGAAGUUAAACGAAUCAAGGAUGUUGCAACCCAUAUUUUUGGGUAAACCUACAAUAAAAACCCAGUGAAAUCUCACUAGUGGGGUUUGGAGAGGGUAGUGAGUACGCAGACCUUACCCCUAUCCUGAAGGGAAAGAGAGGUUGUUUCUGAAAGACCCUCGGCUCAAGAGAACAAAAAGUCAAAGGUAGACAAUGUUAGUAUCACCACAUAAAUCAUAAGAAAAUCAUAAGAAAAUAGGAACAACAUGAAAUCCGGAAGAAAGAUGCAAAGCAAAACCGAUAGGUAGUAAAUGGGUCCUGCACUGAAAAUACAGCAUUAACACUAGCUAUCUUAGACAAAAACCAUACCUGACUAGUCUCACAGAGGUAUUAGUAAGGCAAGACUCAACUACCUCCUAACUUAAAACCUUAAUGCUCGACGUCCACAACUUCCUAUCAAGUGUCAUGUCCUCGAAAAUCUAAAGGCUUGCCAUAUCAUAUUUGAUCACCUCUCCCCAAUACUUGUUAGGCCGAUCUCUACCUCCUAUCAUUCCAUCCACAACUAGCCGCUCACACCUCCUUACUGGAGCAUCUGGUAUUCUCCUAUGAACAUGCCCGAUACAUCUGAGUCUUGCUUCCCGCAUCUUGUCAUCAAUUAGAGCUACGUGCACCUUCUCCCGGAUAUCACCAUUCCUAAUCUUAUCCAUCCUAGUGUGCCUGCACAUCCACCUUAACAUUCUCAUUUCUGCUACAUUCAUGUUCUUGAUAUGUGAGUUCUUAACAGGCUAACACUCAGCCCCAUAUAUCACUUUCGGUCUUACCACCGCUUUAUAGAACUUAUUUUGAGAAUCGAUCGCACUCUCUUAUCACACAGGACUGUAGACGCUAACCUACACUUCAUCCAUCCUACCCCAAUAUCAUGCGUGACAUCCUCGUUGAUCUCCCCCUCCCCUCCUGGAUAACCGACCUAAGGUACUUGAAGCUGCCUCUACUUGGGAUGACCUGUGAUCCAAGCCUCACAUCCAUGCCCAUUUUCCCUGGCUCAGAACUAAACUUACACUCCAGGUAUUCCAUCUUCAUCCUACUCAGCUUGACUCUUAGACUCAAGUUUAUGUCUCCAAGCCUCCAGCCUCUUGUUAAGUCCGGCUCACGACUUAUUAAUCAGAACUAUGUCAUCAACGAAUAGCAUACACCAUGGCACCUCCCCUUGAAUAUGGUGCGCAACGUGUCCAUCACUAAUGCGAAUAAGAACGGACUGAGGGAAGAACCUUGAUGUAACCCCAUUAUGACCGAAAAAUGGUCAGAGUCUCCUCCUGCUGUCCCAACUCCAAUUCUUAGCCCUAUUGAACAUAUCCUUCAUCGCCAUAAUGUACGGGACAGACUCUCCUUUUGCCACCAAGCAUCUCCAGAGAACUUCUCUAGGAACCUUGUCAUACGCUUUCUCUAGGUCAAUAAAAAGCAUGUGCACAUCCUUGUUCCUCUCUCUAUACAAUUCUACCAACCUCUGGACAAGGUGUAUAGCUUCUGUAGUAGAACGGCCUAGCAUGAAUCUGAACUGGUUUUCCGAUAUAGACAUUGACAUCUUCACCCUCGCUUCAACAACCCUCUACCACACUUUCAUGGUAUGACUUAGUAAUUUAAUAUCCCCUAUGGUUGUUACAACUCUGGAUAUCACCUUUGUUCUUAUACAAUGAAACUACCGUAUUCCACCUUCACUUCUCCGGCAUCCUUUUUGCCUAAAAAAUAACAUUAAACAAUCCAUUCAACCACUCCAAUCUUUCUCUCCCCAUACCAUUCCAAAAUUUCACCAGAAUUUUGUCUGGCUCGGUCUCUCAACCCAUACUCAUCCUAUGCAUAGCUCCUACGACCUUCUCAAUCUUGAUACACCCGCAGUGCCCAAAGUCGCAGUGACUCUCGGAUUAUUCCAAUUAGCCUAACACAUAGACGUUCAUGAAAGUAAGUCUUCCAUCUAAUCUUAUUCUGCGUAUCCUCCAUCAAUACUCUACCAUCUCCAUUAUUGAUGUAUCUCACUUGAUCCAAAUACUUAGACUUCCUCUUCUCAACUUGACAGCCGGAAUAACAUCUUCUCGCUGCCUUUCCUUGUACAUACAACCAUACGACGCAGUCUUAGCCACUGUAAUCGCCAUCUUUGCUUCCAUCAUAUAUACCCUAUUCAUCUACAUGCAGUCUCGCCUCUCCUCCUCAGCUAUGCUCCCCACUAACUUCAGGUACGCCGCCUUUUGGACCACUUCAUUUCACCACCAUUCUCCUUUGUGCCCGCCAGAGAUGCCUAUCGAUACCCUUAACACCUCUCUCACGGUAUAACUUAUGCAUUUGAAUGUCGCUGACCACGUAGUUCUCGUGUCACCAAUACUCCUCCAAGCUCCUACAACUGACAGCCUCCCCUCCAACUCAUGGGUUUUAUCCUUAGUUAAGGCUCCCCACCUGAUUCUCAGUCUUCCUCGAGAUUUUUAGGUAAACCUAGAGGUGCUUAAUGUACUCAAGAGCCGUGUUUUAAGGUAUUUGAAUCAUGUAAUAUCUGUAUCAUAAGUCUUCAAGUAAAAUGAGUUAUGAAACGUACAAAAGUUGACAAACGUUGUCACAACUUACGUUCAUAAUUUAAUUUAAACUUUAGGUAAAAUAUUACCAAGAUUUUCUCCUAAUUUAUUUAGAAUUAUAGGGUGAUAUAUCACCAAAUUCAAGAUAUGUGAUUCUACUUUCCAAUGCAUUUAACCGUUCAUCAAUAUGAUAUCAUAGCAGAGAGAUAUUUGCGUUUUUGCAAACUACACCAAACAACUCUAUGGGGCCAUGUAAGCGGUUUAAGACAUAUGGAUAGAUAUAAUAUGACUCAACCUCGUUUUAUCUCAUUAUUUUUUGGUUUCUUAGAACCCUAAAAAUAUUCUCUCAAGUUUUUCUCACGAUCCAAGACCCAAACAAAGGGCAAACAACACAAAUCAAGUGUCGGGAAUCCUUUGGCGCUAGUACUUCUUGUUCUUCUUAUAGUUGCUCAUUUUUGUGUUGUUCCAGCUCAUAUGGAAGGUUGUUUUAAGGGUUUAUGUUCUAUAAAUACUCCCUCAAGUUUUUAAUAUCAACCCUAGGUGAUAUCAAGUCUUUUAAAGUGAUUCUAGUGCCAAAAAACCCUAAUUGAUUGCUAGUUUUGCUUCCUUGUUCUUGUGGCAGCAUUGGAGGGAUAUUUCGUGGAAAUUUAAGGUAAAAUUGGAGUUUUUCUUUCUGUAUGAAAGAAAGUAAAAUCUUAUUCUACAUGUAUUAAGAUUAUCUAAGUUGCGGCUAAGUCAUUGAAGCUAGAACUUGUGAAAUAUAUAUCGAAAGGCUUGGUAGUAAUGUUUUUUGUUGGUAGAUUGUUUUGGGAGGCUCAAUAUGAUUAUUAUUGAUGUUGUUUUGUAUUUUGGGUGAUUGUUUUGACUUGUGGGAAGUCAUAUAUAGGUUCUGGUCGAUAUAUUAUAGUUACAACACUUAAACGAUAACGAUAGUAUCAUUUCUCUUAUUGUAGACUAAGGAGUCAUGACAUUUGCAUAGCUUGAGGUUGGGCAGUAUACACAUGGUAUGUGAGGCAAUACCUUUUCUUUUUUUGCAUGACUCCGAUUGUACAAAAUAUAAUAAACGAGCUUCCAAAGAUACCUGACUCUUAGAAUCUAGCAAUACUUGCAUUUGUUUCCCUUCUUAUGGAACGAUUGAUAUUGAUGUUGCUUCUUUUAUUCGUAUGUUAUCAUUGUUGUUGGUACUUCCUAAUUCUUAUAAGAUUUCAUGAUGAUGAGUUAGUCCUAAUAAUGUGUUUGGAGAAUACCGACCAUACGUCACUUCGAAGUUCAGCAUGUGAUUCUAUUGAGUCCGGCAUGCAUUAUAUAUGUGUACCUAUUUUACUCUACUGAGUGGUGCUAUACUCGACCGGCUACGGCACCUAUUAUGCAACCACUGAUCAGUUGGGUUUUACCGAGCUCAACGUGGCCAGGUCUGAUUCUACCGAGUCUUAUAAUGGCCGGUUACAUGUUUACCAAGCCUAUUACGGCCGGGUCGAUAUGAUGAUGAUGCCCAUAGAGGCAUAUGUUUUAAACGUUUAUGCAUAUAUAUGUAUCAUGCAUUUCAUGUCAGUAGACCUCAGAGGUUCCCAGGUGUUACAGGUUGUAUAUUCUCUACCCCCGUUUACAUUAUUGUUCGUACUUAUGCUUUCUUACCUUACAUACUCAGUAUUUUAUUCGUGUUGAAAUCUUUUUUAUUUGUGGACGCUUCAUGUUGUGUUGUAAGUCUUGAUAGACACGUAGACACAGAUCCCCCACCACAGUAGGCUGCCCAGUUCAGCGGUUAUUGGCGAGAUCCCUUCUCCGAACUUUCCAUAGUCUCGGUAUGAGUUUUUCUUAUAGACAUUAUGGGUAUGUAGGGGACUUGAUCUAGUAAUGUUGCAGCACUUAUGUUCCUUUUGAGGUGUAUAGAUAGGUUCUGUAUCAUGUGUGGUUUGGAAUGCCUUAUCGACUAAUUUUUGUCAUAUAGUCUUUGACGGCAGUGGUGUAGCUCGUACCUUAUCUAUAGUUUCUUGACAAUCUUAUCAUCCCAUGUAUGUAUGUUCAUGCCAAUUAUCUUUCAUUGUUGGUUGUUCAUGAUCCACGUCUACCAUUUAUAUUGAUCUCGUCAGCCCUUAAUGAUAAUAAGGAAGGUUAGAUAAAAUAUACAUUGGUGAUCAGCAAGUACAUCCCGGGUGCUAGUCAUAACCCUCAAGUUUUGGUCAUAACAAACUUGGUAUCCGAGCAAGUCAUUCCAAAGGGUUGUCUAUGAGCCGUAUCUAGUAGAUUCUUGGAUGUGCAACGCACCACAUUUAUAAUUAGGAGGCUAUAUGACAUCUACGGUUGUUACCUUUUCCCGAAUCUAGAUUGUGCGUAGAGUUAAGUCGUAGGCGUUCCUCUCUAACAUUCACCUUAUUUUUUUCAGCAAUGCCCUCGACUAGGAAGCAAGAGAUUAGUAGAAGACUUGAUAUAGCUACCGCAGAGGGUACUAGUCAGGUGCCUCCAGCUAGAGUAGGCCAAAAUAAGGCUAAAUGAUAUGUACGACUUUAUAAUCAUGAGGCUACAUGACAUCUACGAUUGUUACCUUCUUCCUAAAUCUACAUCGUGUGUAGAAUUGAGUCGUAAGUGUUCGUCUCUAAUAUUCACCUUGUUUUCUUUCAGCGAUGCCUUCAACUAGCAAGCAAGCGAUUAGUAGACGUCAUGAUAUAGCUGCGACAAAAGGUGGCAGUCAGGUGCCUCCAGCCAGAUCAGGCCAAAAUGAGGCUCAGAGUGAGAUGUCGUCUCAUACAUCAUUUACUCCAUCUCCUAUAGAGGAUAUUAAGAGGCACCCAGCACCUCCAGUUCCUCUAUCUAGCACCACAGACCAGCAUAUGUUGAGUGCUUUGCAGUUGUUGACUAGCUUUGCAGAGGGCGAUAUUUGUUUGGUAUUCUGAUGACUUUAUAGGCAGUAUCAGACCCCAUCCUUCGAAGAGUUUGACUCCACUUGUAGCUAGUGCUCCUCCACAGCAUUAGAGGCCUUGGUAUGAUCAAUUUACCUAUUUUGAUCCAGGUCAGAGUUCACAGGUAACAUCUUCGCAAUAUUAUAGGGAUACUAGUCAGACGAGACCCACAACACUUUGUUGUGAUUAAUGCAGCAAGGCCCACUUUGGACUGUGCCGUCGAGGUUUUGAUACGUGCUAUUCUUGCGGACAGCAUUGCCACAUGAUGUGAGAUUGUACUAACAGAGGAGGUGGUGGUAUGGCUCAGCCUACUGGAUAUGUUUCCGGUUCUCCCUCAUCAUUUCGACCUCCAGCACGAGGUUUUUAGUAGUCGAUAGGACGUGGUAGAGGUAGAGGUGCAGUGCCGAGUUCAAGUGGUAUUCAAAAUCGAACCUAUGCCCUAGUAGGUCAACAAGAUCUCGAGUUAUCUCGAGAUGUUGUUAUUGGUAUGUUGUCUGCGUUUUCUUAUGAUCUAUAUGCGCUGAUUGAUCCAGGAUCUACAUUAUCAUAUGCUACACCAUUUGUGGCUAGUAAGUUUGGCGUUGAAUUGGAAUUUAUAUGUAAACCACUUGCAGUAUCUAUUUAAAUAGGAGAUUUUGCGAUUACUAUAAGGGUAUAUAAAGGAUGUAUUCUGAUGAUUUGUUGUUGUCAAACCUCAGCAAAUUUAAUUGAGUUAGAAAUGAUUGAUUUCGAUGUAAUAAUGGGAAUGGACUGAUUGGCCUCAUGCUAUGCAAAUGUUCAAUGUCGAACUAAGAUGGCUAGGUUUUAGUUUCCUGGCGAACCUAUCAUUGAAUGGAAAGGGAACAUUACUACACCGAAAUGUAGGUUUAUUUCCUAUCUUAAGGCAAUGAAGAUGAUCUCAAAAGGUUAUAUUUAUCAUCUCGUUCCCAUUAGGGAUGUGGAAGGACCUGCUGGAUAAGGGCUUCAUUAGGCCUAGCAGUUCACCUUGGGGUGCUCUAGGUUUUUUCGUGUGGAAGAAAGAUGGUUGCUAAGGAUGUAUCAAUUAUCGACAGUUUAAUAAGUAUAAAGAACAAGUAUCCACUUCCAAAGAUUGACGACCUACUUGACCAUCUCCAGGGUGCCAAGUAUUUCUCCAAUAUUGACUUACAUUCAGGGUAUCAUCAGGUAAGGGUUAAGGAGAAGGAUAUUCCAAAGAUGGCCUUCCGGACAAGAUAUGGGCACUUUGAGUUCUUGGAGAUGUUGUACAGGCUAAAAAAAUGCCACCACAACCUUUAUGGAUCUCAUGAAUAGUGUAUUCAGGACUAUCUUAAUGUGUUCGUGAUCGUAUUCGUUGAUGAAAUUUUGGUGUGUUCUCGUUGGAGGCGGAACAUGCGAUCCACUUACAUAUAGUAUUACAAAUGAUUCAGGAUCGUAAGUUAUAUGUUAAGAUCUCCAAAUGUUAAUUCUGGUUGAACUCAGUAGCAUUCUUCGGCCAUGUGAUAUCUACAAAGGGUAUUAGUUUCGAUACUCAUAAGAUCGAUAUAGUGAAGAAUUGGCCUAGACCUACACCACCAUCAGAAGUCUACAGCUUCGUAAUGCUAGCAGAAUAUUAUAUGCAAUUUCUUGAGGGGUUUUCCUCUAUAUCAGCACCAUUGAUUAAGUUAACAUAGAAAGCUACCAAGUUCUAGUGGUUUGACGCUUAUGAAUGAAGUUUUCAGGAGCUAAAGAAUCGAUUGACAUCUGUGCUAAUGCUCACUCUCCUAGAAGGAACAAAAGUUUAUGUUGUAUAUUGUGAUGCCUUAGGUAUAGGUUUGGGGUAUGUAUUGGUGAAACAUGGUAAGAUGAUUGCGUAUGCAUCAAGACAAUUGAAGAAGCAUGAAAAGAGUUACUCGUCUCAUGAUUUGGAAUUGGCUACUGUAAUAUAUGCUUUGAAGAUAUGGCGGCACUAGUUAUACGGUGUCCAUGUUGAUAUCUACACAGAUCACAAGAGUUUAUAGUACAUAUUCAAGCAUAAGGAGUUCAAUUUUAGGCAAUGUAGGUGGCUUGAAUUACUAAAAGGUUAUAAUGACGAGAUAUUGUACCAUCCCGGUAAAGCUAAUGUUCUGGCAGACGCUCUCAGUUGUAAGUCAAUGGGAAGCUUAGUACAUACUGAGGUAGGUGGACAUAGUUUGACUAAAGAGCUUCAUCAGCUAGCCAAUAUGAGAAUCAGAUUGUUAGACUCUGAUGACGGUGGUGUUACUGUACAGAAUACAACAGAAUCAUCUUAGGUAGCUGGGGUAAAAGCACGGAAAUAUGAAUAUCCUACCUUAUUAAGAUUGAGAGAGAGCAUUCACCAGUGUAAAAUUAUGGCUUUUGAGAUUGGAGGAGAUGGGGUACUAAGAUACCAGGGCCGAUUAUGUGAGCCUAAUGUGGCAGGGUUGCAAAAGAAGAUUUUAUGAUUGAGAUUCAUUAAUAUCAAUAUUCGAUCCAUCCCAGCUUAACAAAGAUGUAUCAUGAUGUUAAGGAGAAGUAUUUGUGGGAUAACAUGAAAAAGUCAAUUGUAAAAUUUGUAGCCUAGUGUCCCAAAAUUUCAUCAAGUAAAGAUCUAGCAUCAGAAAUCCAGAGGGUUGAUUCAGAAUGUAGAGAUUCCGACUUGGAAAUGGGAGAUGAUUAAUAUGGACUUCUUAUUGGAUUACUUCACUUUUAUCAUAAGUUUGACUCUAUCUGGGUGAUAGUUGACCGACUUACAAACUGGGCCCAUUUUUUGCCAGUUAAGACAACGUACAUAGCUGAAGAUUAUACGAAGUUGUAUAUCAAGGGAAUUGUUAGGCUUCAUGGUGUACAGGUAUCUAUUAUAUCAUACUAAGGAGCUCAAUUUAUGGUUAACAUUUGGAGGUCUUUUCAGAAGGGUUUGGGGACACAAGUGAAUCUCAGCACUGCAUUCCAUCCACAUACUGACGGAUAGGUUGAACGUACUAUUCAGACACUUGAAGAUAUGGUAUGAGCAUAUGUUCUAGAUUUCAAAGGGAAUUGGGAUGACCAUCUUCCACUCAUAGAAUUUGCGUACAAUAAUAGCUACCAUUCUAAUUAAAAUGGUUCCAUACGCGGCACUGUACGAGAGCAAAUGUAGAUCACAGUUGAAUGGUUUGAGGCCGGUGAAACAGAGUUAUAUGGGCCAGAUUUGAUUCACCAAGCCAUUGAGAAGGUGAAAGUGACAUAAGAAUGGCAGAGGAUCGUACAAAGCAGGCAAAAGUCUUAUUCCGAUGUAUGACGUCGUGAUCUGGAGUUUGACGUUGGUGAUUGGGUUUUCAUGAGAAUCUCGCGGAUGAAAGGUGCUAUGCGUUUUGGGAAGGACGGUAAGUUGAGUCCAAGGUAUAUCGGGCCAUAUUAGAUUCUUCGACGAAUUGGACAGGUUUCUUAUGAGUUAGAAUUGCCAUCCGAAUUGGAAUUUGUCCACCUGGUAUUUCAUGUAUCUAUGUUGAGAAAAUGUAAUUGAGACCCUUCUCGAGUCGUCCCUAUCAAAGAUGUACAAGGUAAAGAGGAUCUAUCAUAUGAAGAAGUGCUAGUGGCUAUUAUAGAUCGAAAAGUGUGUGUGAGCUCGUGAUUUUUUCCCUGUAUGAAUUACUCCCCCAAAUUCAAAACAAAAUAUUUUUUCUCAUUGUUUGCAAUUUUGUGAAUUUUUUUGGCAUUUUCUGUCAAUUGUUUGCAUUUGUUUGUGCAUGUCUAUCUUAUUUAAUUAACAAAAAUACAAAAAAUAUGUUGCAUUUGCAUUUAGGAUUUAACUUUGCAUUUUAAGAAUUAAUUAGUAAUUAAGUCAUUUUAUAAAAAAGAAAAAUCACAAAAAUAGUUAUUUUGCACCUUUUAAUUUUAAUUUAAAUUUUGAUAGUUUUUAUUUAAUUUAUUAAUGGUGGUAAUUGUUUAGGAUUAGUUAAUAUUUUUGAUAUGUUAAUUUGGUUUUACAACGUAAUUUAGGAUUUUAGUUUUAAUUUUUGAAAUAACAGUAAGAAAAUAAAAAGAACUAAUUUGGAAGAAAAAAAGAAGAAUAGGGAAAUGAAAAGAUGGGUUUUUUCAGCUGAAAUUAAGUGAUUUAUCCCCAACCCACUUAAAUACCCGGUUACACCCGUUAAACCGAUCCCAAAACCCACUCCAGGACCCGGUCUCACCAUCAUUAAUCCAAACGACCCCGUUUAGGUUAGGGCACUUCGCCGUCUAGUUAUUUGAUCUAACUGCUUGGAAGUGGUUUGGUCUUGAUAUAUUAGUGUAUGAAUUAGCCCCCUCCCCUCCCCCCCCCUCCUUUCAUCGUCUCUCCCAAACCCACCCCUCUUCAGAUACCGCCCCAAAACCCUAGAUGCCAUCAUUCCCACCGCCUAGAAACCCGACGGUGCCACCUCCAAUCCCUCCCAAAAUCACAACCUAUAACCACCUCAUUCCCCUCAUCUCAAAUCCCCAUUCAGUUUAUUUCAAAUAACCCCAAAACCUCUCGAAUCUUAAAUUUAGGGUUCGAGUUCUAGAGGUUGAAGUCAGGUUCCUCCGUGCAAGGUCACCCCUCUAAGUUCCCUGAGUGUUCCAAGCUUGGUUUAUUUCGAAGUGAUGUUUUUCGUGAUUCUUGACAAAGAACAGACGAUUAUACCAUUUCGAGACUAAAUCAGAAUUAAUCGUUGGUUUCAAGUGUAAAUUGGUAAGUCUCUUUUCUUUCUUCGCAUUUUGGUCCAUCAUUCUGCUUCAUCUCUUCCGGGUUCUCUUUUUCUAUCUCUAUAUGUUAGGCGUGCCUUGAAUGGAAUCAAUUUUGAGCGCCCCCCCCCCCCCCCCCNNNNNNNNNNNNNNNNNNNNNNNNNNNNNNNNNNNNNNNNNNNNNNNNNNNNNNNNNNNCCCCCCCCCCAAGGACAAUUUCUUUGGUAUAUGUUUAUGUAUUUGAUUUUGUUCCAGCUCUUCAGUUUUCUUUCUUUUAGUCGACAUUCUCUGUUCUUUUACUUGAUUUUUUUUAGGCUAUGAAGUUCCCUGAUAAUUAGCUUAGGUAUACUUUUGUUGAAUUGUUAGUUUAAUUCUAAUUUCAAUCUAGUAUAUUGGUUUAAAGAAAAUAAAAAAGAAAAAUCAUCACCCGCAGCUUAGAUUACAUAUUCUAAAAUUAUUCAAACGUUUCCUUUUUCUGCUUUUCAUUAAUUUGGUUGGGUUGCUGACCCCUUUUGGUUUGGGCCUGACGAUUCAUGUGAUUAGUUCAUUUUAAACAUAUGGGUCACUGACCCAUGACCCAUGCCCAUAGGUUUCUAAGGUAAAUAACCAGGGCUUAAAGGGGUAAUUUGGGGUAAUUAGGUAGUGGAAUCUCCUUGUAGCUGAAAUAGAAGCUUCUAGAAAGCUGUGUUAGGGGGCAUCUCUUGAAUUCUGUUGUUAACUAAGGUUUGGUAAGCAAAAAGGAAAAUUGGCUAGGGACUUUUUAGCUUAAAAAAAAGGAAAGGGGUAAAAUUUGAACCUUGAGUGUUGCCCUACUUUCCUUCCCUUUAAAGGCACCGUUGCUUGAGAAGAAAGGCAGAGAUUAAGAGAUAGAAAUUUCUAAAAAAAUAACAAACGGCUGAAAUUUCAAGAAAAAUAUUGUUCCAUUGGAAUUUCUGCUUUGAACUUUGAAGUUUUGUUUCAUCUUCUGAACAAUAGCUGAUUCUAAUAAGGUAUAAAAUGGUUUAAAGUUGGGUAGUGAAAUAUUUGGUUUAAGUUGUUGGAUUUGUUUAUUUCUUCUGGUUUGAUUUCAUUGUUGAUUUUAGUUGAAUCUGGACUGGGGUUGUUCUGCUUCUAGUGCUGAUUUAUGCACUUGAUACUGCUGAUUCCUUACAUUUUCUUUUGCCUUUUCAUUCCCAGGUACAUGUCUCCUGAAACUCUAGAUAUUUUGGUGAAGCUUUGAGUUGAACAAUAAAAUGAGAAAGAAGGACUGUAAAGCAUAACUUCAGUUGUUUUCUGAUUCAAUCAUGUUUUACUUUAAAUUUUUUUCUUACUUGGCAUGUUGUACUGUUUAGUUGAUCUUUGUGUUAACUAGAUAAGUUUUUGGCAUGUUGUAUUUGAUUUGGGACUAUUAUAAGACUGAAGGGACAAUCUAUUAUCUGAGUUAAAGGUCAGUCCGUAUAUGCAAUCUUGAGGAUUUCUUUAAUGUAAAUGGUGG